rnacentral:rRNA from 1 species
UAGGGAAUCUUCCACAAUGGACGAAAGUCUGAUGGAGCAACGCCGCGUGAGUGAAGAAGGGUUUCGGCUCGUAAAACUCUGUUGUUAAAGAAGAACAUAUCUGAGAGUAACUGUUCAGGUAUUGACGGUAUUAACCAGAAAGCCACGGCUAACUACGUGCCGG